UGAAGCGCUCUUUGAGCGCGCGAGGUGCAUUGUGGGAAUGGCCAGCCAAAAUGGAGUAGUUAACUGUUCUCCUCAGCGUAAUGCCCAAGACAGGUCAAUUAAGGGAGUCUAUAAGCAACACAAACUAUAAGCAACACAAACACAAAACAGCCUUUAUAAACUGAAGUUUAAAAAAGCAAGAACAUAGGAUAGAGGAAUGCCCAAUAUUUGGGCCCAUAUUUUUUUAUAGGCCCUCUGCAGCUGGCAACAGUCCCCUUAAGAGUGACAAUAAUAAGAGACUAAUGAAUGCACAGUAAAUUUACUCAGUAGUACUGCACCCUUGGAACAAUUAAGUGGCCUUUUUAAAAUAAAGUGUGUGGGAUGAGAACAGAUUAACUUGUCACACAGAAUAUAGAGUGAGGUGGUGUGAGCACAGUGGCCAAGGAACAGGAGCAAAAAGGGUGAGGUAGUGGCCAUUUUUCCACUCUUCAAUAACCCACUUCUUGAGGUGACUCAGGUUGCCUCAUUACGCCCUGUUGUUGUUUUUUAACCUAACUUCCAGUAAAAUGGCCAUCUGGGCACUGGAUUUGGGAAAGAGUUCUACAAAUGUGAGGCCACCACAGAAAAGGCUCUGUCCCUGAAGCAAUUGAAAAACAUGAUGAGUCACAUUAGUCCAUAAGCCAGGCCCACAAAUUUUGGGCAGCAGUACUACCUCAAGGGACAAAUGCUCAGUCAUUUUUGGCAACAUCUACCCCCAGAGAUGGAAAAUAGAGGUGAUUCUCACGAGCGGCUGAAAGUGGGCUAAGAGAGCUUAGCCCGGUUUUGGUCGAUCGUGUGCUGAAAAGGGAGCUGCACGGCUCCCGGCAGCAAACCUCCCAAAGUACCCCUCCCCUUAGCCGAGGUUAACAGAGCGAGCACUCCGUUAACCUCGUCUUUUUGAUUGUGUGUCGCCACAGCACACAGCAACACAAGAGGAGACCCCCAAGCGGGAGGCUGCAAGCAGGCUAACAAUUAGGUUAGGCUAACAAUUAAAUUGUUCUGUUCUCUCCAUGGAAAGAACAUCUUUGGAUAACGUUCCUCCAUCUUUGGAUAACAUUCCUGCAAAUUGUCAUUUCUAUUCCUCUGACAAUAUCGCUAAACCUUUAUAGCAAUUUUUGCAAUUUUAAAACUUUUAAAACACCAUUGCGAGUUGGGCUUGUGCAGGCCUGAAUGGUCAGGACAAUAAAAGCCUUGUAAAAAAUCACAAUGAGCAACCCCUCCCCCCCCAAAUAUGGUACCCAACCACCACAUCUAGCUCAAGUACUACAUGAGUGCAGGUGGUCUUUCUGGUGCCCUGGCCUCAGUUCAUUUAGAAAUGUAUAGUUCACUUAUAGAAAUUCCAGAACAGCACUUUUAAUUGCUCCAAGAAGCAAACAAGCACCAGUCACAAAUUCAGCAAUGUUUUUCAACUUUGGCUGAGGUGGAGGAAUUCAUACAUAGGAAGUCCUCCAGAACUUCUGUCAUGCCAGAUGUGUUUUGGAGUUGGAUCCACAAGAACUGCAAGCGGACUAGACUCUGGUUUGCACCCAACCAGCCAAACGCUGGCCUCUUCUGCACGGGUUCGAGAGACGCACCGUUUCUUUGAAGCUGUCCGAGAGCCAACGGUUGCGGAGGACGGCCAGCACCGAGGAUGGUGGAUUCUCCAGGUCCUCAAAGGCAUCCAUGAGGAUGAAGUCCAGGACGAUAUCAAAGAAGCUCAUG